rnacentral:hammerhead_ribozyme from 1 species
AUCCAGUUGACGAGUCCAUAGUAGGACGAAGUGCGUAUCCUGGAU